UGUCGGGUCCCGAGCAAGGGAGCGGCGUGAACCUGGUCAGACCCGGAAGGGAGCAGCCAUAAGCGUGCGGCGACUUGUGCUCGGGGUGCCUGAUGAAC
rnacentral:SRP_RNA from 1 species